rnacentral:sRNA from 1 species
GCCGGGUGUGGUGGCCACUCCUGUAAUCCCAGCAGCUCAGGAGGCUGAGACAGGAGAUUGUGAGUUCAAAGCCAGCCUCAGCAAUGACGAGGCGUUAAGCAACUCAGUGAGACCCUGUCUCUA